GACAAACGCUGGCGGCGUGCUUAACACAUGCAAGUCGAACGGACUUGGUUGGGGGGUAACUCCUGAUCAGGUUAGUGGCGAACGGGUGAGUAAUGCACAGGUAAUGUACCUUUUUGUUUGGGAUAGCUUCUCGAAAGGGGAGGUAAUACCGGAUGUGCUGUUUUUGGGGCAUCCCAAAAACAGUAAAGCAGUAAUGCGCGGGAAGAUCAGCCUGUGUUCUAUCAGCUUGUUGGUGGGGUAACGGCUCACCAAGGCUGCGACGGAUAACCGGUUUGAGAGGAUGUACGGCCACACUGGGACUGAGAUACGGCCCAGACUCCUACGGGAGGCAGCAGUGGGGAAUAUUGGACAAUGGGCGAAAGCCUGAUCCAGCCAUGCCGCGUGUGUGAAGAAGGUCUUCGGAUUGUAAAGCACUUUAAGUUGGGAGGAAGGGUUGUAGAUUAAUACUCUGCAAUUUUGACGUUACCGACAGAAUAAGCACCGGCUAACUCUGUG
rnacentral:rRNA from 1 species